UUUACCUUAUGAGACUGCAAUAUGCGUAGUCUAACUUUGACUAUGGCAUUACUGUAUCAUCAUUGGAUACAUUAUGAAAUUAUUAAAUCAAGAUAGCUGACAUAUUCCUCAUUUCACAUAUUAUUUUCAUGAACUGAGAACAUUUUAGAUCUUAACAGUCCCUGUGGUUUCGAGAGCAACCAUUUCAACAGUUCCUGCUGCUUGGUGAAAUUUCCUGUUCUCUGUUCCACUGCUUUUUCUCUGUGGAUUAAAAACUAUGAGUAAGCUGAAUAGCAGCCAGCAUGCAAACUCUGAAAAUGCUUUCUCGUGGUUUUCAAGACAACAGAGCCCCUUAUAGAACACCCACCCAGAAUCCAGAUAAAGUUCUUGGCAGAAUGAUAUUCACAAUCUGGGCAACUGAAAAGCGGAGACUAAUGCCUAAAGUGUUGGACUGCCUAAUGAGGACAAUAAGAAAUCAUCGGAUUGGAACAAGGACCCAACCAAUUGCACCAUCUUCUGUGACUCCCAAAUAUCCAGGCUUGGUGGGUUAUGAACAACAGAUGAUGUCUCUGGCCUUUCAGAUAACUGCUCUCUAAUAGAGACUAAAGUCAAGUGUUGGCAUGAUAUUGGAGGAACCAGAAGUUUCCCACACUGCAGCAAUCUCAGACAAGUUCUAACACCUAUUCAACAGCUUCAUGGAUCAAAUGAGACCACUGGGUGAAGGAAUCCUCAUCUAAUGAUCAAGAAAUCAUCAGAUUGUCCUGUUCCUUUUUAUAUGACAACUCUCCACACCCCACAGGCAACCCUCAGAUCUCUCCUCAGGCUCUUGCUGCUUGCUUCAGCUCCUUGACACCUUUGAGAGCUUUGUAAAGCAUUCUCUUCAUAGCACCGCCACAAGCUGUCUCCUCAGAACCAGUGUGAGGGAAAGCAGCUCAUGACGCUCCAGUUCCACCUUCUGCUCCGGGGAGGAGGCCAGUGAACUUCCAGGAAGCACGGGAGGGGCAGCCAUACCUCAGAACAGAGAGAGUGGUUUUAGAGACAAGUAGAGCUCAGAGAGAGGGAGUAUAAAAAUUUUGUCACAAAAGAGGGAGAGAACCAGUUGUUGAGAUUUAUUCUGGGCCCAGGGUGAAGAAGCCAGAAGAAGACUUUUCUUAGAGUGGGGAGUCCCUGCCCCCCAACAUAUCCUUUAUUGCAGUAUUCCUUUAUGACAUGCUUGAUUCUAUGUUUGGAGAUUCAAUCUAAGGUUAGAACGAAAUCUCAGAAAUAGGUAAUAUGCUACCCUUCCAGAGGGUUUGGGUUACCCAACACUUCAUGAACAUCUUGAAUAUUUGCUACUGUUUGGGUAUAAUGUAUAAGGUUUGUGUGGUCAGAGACUUAAUCCUCAGGUCAGGGCACUCUGAUGUGUCAUGGAAUCUUUAAGAGUUAUGGGAGGUCCUUAGGUCACUGGACCACAAUCUCUGAAUGUGCGUCCCAACACAAAGAGCAAGUAUGUCCCACAUAGUUGUCUCUGCCUCCCAGCUCCAGAUGUGGCUGUUCCAUCAGACAACCCUGCCAACACUGUUCCCUAUACCAUAUGCCAAUUGGAACUCAUCAGAACUGAACUAGAAUCUUCAAACUUCCAAAACU